rnacentral:rRNA from 1 species
UGGGGAAUUUUGCACAAUGGGGGAAACCCUGAUGCAGCGACGCCGCGUGAUUUAGAAGGCCUUCGGGUUGUAAAAAUCUUUUCUAUGGGAAGAAAAUGACAGUACCAUAGGAAUAAGGACCGGCUAAUUACGUGCCAGCAGCCGCGGUAAUACGUAAGGUCCGAGCGUUGUCCGGAAUCAUUGGGCGUAAAGGGUACGUAGGCGGGUAAGCAAGUUAGAAGUGAAAUCCUGUAGCUCAACUACAGUAAGCUUUUAAAACUGCUCAUCUUGAGAUAUGGAAGGGAAAGUGGAAUUCCUAGUGUAGCGGUGAAAUGCGCAGAUAUUGGGAGGAAUACCGGUGGCGAAGGCGACUUUCUGGCCAUAAUCUGACGCUGAGGUACGAAAGCGUGGGUAGCAAACAGG